GUUGGGCGUGGUGGCCCAUGCCUGUAAUCCCGUUGACUUGGGAGCCUGAAGCAGGAGGAUUGCAAGUUUGAGCCCAGCCCCAGUAAUUUAAUUAAUGAGGCCCUAAGCAACUUAGUGAGAAUCUGUCUCAA
rnacentral:sRNA from 1 species